rnacentral:rRNA from 1 species
AAAACUAUUCGCCAGAGUACUACUCGCAACUGCCUAAAACUCAAAGGACUUGGCGGUGCUUCACAUCCACCUAGAGGAGCCUGUUCUAUAAUCGAUAAACCCC